ACGGAAGGCAGCAGUGGGGAAUAUUGGGCAAUGGGCGCAAGCCUGACCCAGCAACGCCGCGUGAAGGAAGAAGGUCUUCGGAUUGUAAACUUCUUUUAUGAGGGACGAAGGACGUGACGGUACCUCAUGAAUAAGCCACGGCUAACUACGUGCCAGCAGCCGCGGUAAUACGUAGGUGGCAAGCGUUAUCCGGAUUUACUGGGUGUAAAGGGCGCGUAGGCGGGGAUGCAAGUCAGAUGUGAAAUCUAUGGGCUUAACUCAUAAACUGCAUUUGAAACUGUAUUUCUUGAGUGCUGGAGAGGUAGAUGGAAUUCCUUGUGUAGCGGUGAAAUGCGUAGGUAUAAGGAAGAACACCGGUGGCGAAGGCGGCUUUCUGGACUGUAACUGACACUGAGGCACGAAAGCGUGGGGAGCAAACAGGAUUAGAUACCCUGGUA
rnacentral:rRNA from 1 species